rnacentral:rRNA from 1 species
CCUACGGGUGGCAGCAGUGGGGGAUAUUGCACAAUGGGGGAAACCCUGAUGCAGCGACGCCGCGUGUGGGAAGACGGUCUUCUGGAUUGUAAACCACUGUCCCCAGGGACGAAAAUGACGGUACCUGGGGAGGAAGCUCCGGCUAACUACGUGCCAGCAGCCGCGGUAAUACGUAGGGGGCAAGCGUUGUCCGGAAUUACUGGGUGUAAAGGGAGCGUAGGCGGGGAUGCAAGUUGGGUGUCAAAACUACCGGCUCAACCGAUAGUCGCACUUAAAACUGAAGCUCUUGAGUGAAGUAGAGGCAGGCGGAAUUCCUAGUGUAGCGGUGAAAUGCGUAGAUAUUAGGAGGAACACCAGUGGCGAAGGCGGCCUGCUGGGCUUUUACUGACGCUGAGGCUCGAAAGUGUGGGGAGCAAACAGGAUUAGAUACCCUAGUAGUC